rnacentral:rRNA from 1 species
GACGAACGCUGGCGGCGUGCUUAACACAUGCAAGUCGAGCGGAAAGGCCCCUUUUUUGGGGUACUCGAGCGGCGAACGGGUGAGUAACACGUGCGUGACCUGCCCUUGACUUUUGGAUAACCCCGGGAAACCGGGGCUAAUACCGGAUGGGACCUGCUGGUGCAUGCUGGUGGGUGGAAAGCUUUUGCGGUCAGGGAUGGGCGCGCGGCCUAUCAGCUUGCUGGUUGGGUGAUGGCCUACCAAGGCGACGACGGGUAGCCGGCCUGAGAGGGCGACCGUCCACACUGGGCCUGAGACACGGCCCAGACUCCUACGGGAGGCAGCAGUGGGGAAUAUUGCACAAUGGGCGCAAGCCUGAUGCAGCGACGCCCCGUGGGGGAUGACGGCCUUCGGGUUGUAAACCUCUUUCAGCGGGGACUAAGCCGUGUGGUGACGGUACCCGCAGAAGAAGCGCCGGCCAACUACGUGCCAGCAGCCGCCGUAAAAC